UACGUAGGGGGCAAGCGUUGUCCGGAAUCAUUGGGCGUAAAGAGCGUGUAGGCGGUCCGUUAAGUCGGCUGUGAAAGUCCCAAGGCUCAACCUUGGGAUGCCGGUCGAUACCUGCCGGACUAGAGUUCGGGAAGAGGCCGAGUGGAAUUCCCGGUGUAGCGGUGAAAUGCGCAGAUAUCGGGAGGAACACCUAUGGCGAAGGCAGCUCGCUGGACGUUACUGACGCUG
rnacentral:rRNA from 1 species